GACGAACGCUGGCGGCGUGCUUAACACAUGCAAGUCGAACGGAAAGGCCCUGCUUUUGUGGGGUGCUCGAGUGGCGAACGGGUGAGUAACACGUGAGUAACCUGCCCUUGACUUUGGGAUAACUUCAGGAAACUGGGGCUAAUACCGGAUAGGAGCUCCUGCUGCAUGGUGGGGGUUGGAAAGUUUCGGCGGUUGGGGAUGGACUCGCGGCUUAUCAGCUUGUUGGUGGGGUAGUGGCUUACCAAGGCUUUGACGGGUAGCCGGCCUGAGAGGGUGACCGGCCACAUUGGGACUGAGAUACGGCCCAGACUCCUACGGGAGGCAGCAGUGGGGAAUAUUGCACAAUGGGCGGAAGCCUGAUGCAGCAACGCCGCGUGCGGGAUGACGGCCUUCGGGUUGUAAACCGCUUUCGCCUGUGACGAAGCGUGAGUGACGGUAAUGGGUAAAGAAGCACCGGCUAACUACGUGCCAGCAGCCGCGGUGAUACGUAGGGUGCGAGCGUUGUCCGGAUUUAUUGGGCGUAAAGGGCUCGUAGGUGGUUGAUCGCGUCGGAAGUGUAAUCUUGGGGCUUAACCCUGAGCGUGCUUUCGAUACGGGUUGACUUGAGGAAGGUAGGGGAGAAUGGAAUUCCUGGUGGAGCGGUGGAAUGCGCAGAUAUCAGGAGGAACACCAGUGGCGAAGGCGGUUCUCUGGGCCUUUCCUGACGCUGAGGAGCGAAAGCGUGGGGAGCGAACAGGCUUAGAUACCCUGGUAGUCCACGCUGUAAACGGUGGGUACUAGGUGUGGGGUCCAUUCCACGGGUUCCGUGCCGUAGCUAACGCUUUAAGUACCCCGCCUGGGGAGUACGGCCGCAAGGCUAAAACUCAAAGGAAUUGACGGGGCCCCGCACAAGCGGCGGAGCAUGCGGAUUAAUUCGAUGCAACGCGUAGAACCUUACCUGGGUUUGACAUGGAUCGGGAGUGCUCAGAGAUGGGUGUGCCUCUUUUGGGGUCGGUUCACAGGUGGUGCAUGGCUGUCGUCAGCUCGUGUCGUGAGAUGUUGGGUUAAGUCCCGCAACGAGCGCAACCCUUGUUCACUGUUGCCAGCACGUUAUGGUGGGGACUCAGUGGAGACCGCCGGGGUCAACUCGGAGGAAGGUGGGGAUGACGACAAGUCAUCAUGCCCCUUAUGUCCAGGGCUUCACGCAUGCUACAAUGGCUGGUACAGAGAGUGGCGAGCCUGUGAGGGUGAGCGAAUCUCGGAAAGCCGGUCUCAGUUCGGAUUGGGGUCUGCAACUCGACCUCAUGAAGUCGGAGUCGCUAGUAAUCGCAGAUCAGCAACGCUGCGGUGAAAACGUUCCCGGGGCU
rnacentral:rRNA from 1 species